GGGCUUUGAUUUAACCCCAUCAUCUGACACUGGUGAAGAUGUGUCACAAGACGUCAGUGUUACAUCAGAUCCCACUGCCCCCAGCACAGUUGGUGAAGUUGCGUCACAAGAGGAAGAACAUCAGUCUGUGGCCGACAUGAGCAGUACCUUCAGUGAGAUGGGUUUGCAAGACCCAUUGGACACCAG